rnacentral:rRNA from 1 species
UACGUAGGGUGCAAGCGUUGUCCGGAAUUAUUGGGCGUAAAGAGCUUGUAGGCGGUCUGUCGCGUCUGCUGUGAAAAUCCGGGGCUCAACCCCGGACUUGCAGUGGGUACGGGCAGACUAGAGUGUGGUAGGGGGGACUGGAAUUCCUGGUGUAGCGGUGAAAUGCGCAGAUAUCAGGAGGAACACCGAUGGCGAAGGCAGGUCUCUGGGCCACUACUGACGCUGAGAAGCGAAAGCAUGGGGAGCGAACAGG